rnacentral:lncRNA from 1 species
UGUGCCCAGGAUGCAUAGCGCCAGAGCAUCCUCGGUCAUGAUGCGCCCAGAUCAGUAGACUUGGUCAGAUUUUGAUGCACCAGGCCCUGGGCGCCUCGGUCAGAAAUCAUGCGCCAAGGCCUGUGUGCUACGGUCAGAGUGUUGAGUUGAGCCUCAGGCUGAUGCACAGUGGGCGAUGCAUUGUGGUGCAUGGGCUUCUUAUUUCUUCGGUCAUAAGUCACAAUUCCUCGGUCAACAUUAGUUUUCCCUCGGUCAAGUGGUGCUAUUGGUCGAUGGAUUUUGAGUUUGGCUUAAUCAAUUAUGCUUUUGGCUUGGCUAUGUUGCAUGGGAGAUCUAUCUUGGUUAGGUGCAUUUGUUGGUGACUUUAAUAGGAGGGAAUGAAGGAUUUGAAUUAGGGGAGUGUGGUUAUUGCUGAAGGGGUUGUUGUUGGUGGGGAAGGUUGUGAUAUGAAAUAUAGACUUGGGGCCUAGAGACAAGUUAGGUAGACACUUCAAAUUUGGUUCAUUGUUCAUACACUACUUAGCUAAGUUGUACAUAUCCAGUUUUUUUAUGAUUAUUAAUUUUAGCGGUUGAUUAAUUUUUUAAAUUCAACUGGUAUAUUUAGUUGAAUACGAGCUUUCUAUCUUCAAAUUUCAAUAAUUAUUUUUGUGAUAUUUAUAUUUCUUUAUCCCUUCUAUCAUUCUAUGUGAUAGUAAUUCUAAUUUCUAUGUGAUAGUAAUGAAAUAAAAAUAUACAUCACUGUAUUCAUUCCUCCAUUUUAAUUUAUGCCUUUUUCCAAGGUUCCACUAAUUUUAUUCACAUGAAAACUUGUCCCAUCGAAAGAUCUAUAUAUUAUUGUGGAUGGUGGGUGCAUGCCCCAUGUAAAUGUGAAGUGGAAGAAAUUUGACAUGGAACUUUAGGCUUUCUUUGUGGUAUUUUGGAGGGGAAGAGAAAUGAUGAUUUUAGAGAUGAGAAGAUUUUGGAGGAUUUCUUAAACCCUCUAAAACCCUCCAUACGUCUAUUUCUAAAGUUCCUUCAGUUUAGGGUUUUUUGGAAGUAAAAUAUCGUCAAAAUAUUUUUAGUAAUAUUAUAUAAUUAUACAUUAUUGUGAAUUUCUCAUUAUUAAUUAUAUUUUAAAAGGAAAAAUAAAAAUAUACUUAUAUUAUCAUUAGUUUGUCUCUAAAUUUUAUACUUCUAAACAAGAGGAUGAUUUUCUUCAAUUUCCCUUCCUUCCAUUUCCUAUCUCUUUCCUUCCCUUUCCCUCAUAACUCAUAAACAAUCUCUUUAGCUUAACUAAAGAGACCUAUAUAAUAUGUUGUUAGGCUUGAAAAAAUAAAUUAUCAUGGCCUUCAUUCACAUAUAUCUUAAUUACUCUAUCUAAUUUUUAUUUUGAAAAAAAGGGUAGUAGUUUGUUGCUUCAAGAGCAAGCAACUAACUACUAACCACUUUAGGAGCCAAAUUAACUCAUAAUAGCCUAUAACAAAAUUCUUCUAAGAAGCAUCUAGAAGGUAGAUAAACAAGAAAAGCCCAUGAGAAAAGCCUAAAAAGGAAAAAAGGCUCAGCUCAAAAGAAAAUGAGGUGCCAUGGCUCGGUCAAAAUUGACGCGCCAUGGCUAACCAGAAAAUGGUGUGCCCAGGAUGCAUAGCGCCAGAGCAUCCUCGGUCAUGAUGCGCCCAGAUCAGUAGACUUGGUCAGAUUUUGAUGCACCAGGCCCUGGGCGCCUCGGUCAGAAAUCAUGCGCCAAGGCCUGUGUGCUACGGUCAGAGUGUUGAGUUGAGCCUCAGGCUGAUGCACAGUGGGCGAUGCAUUGUGGUGCAUGGGCUUCUUAUUUCUUCGGUCAUAAGUCACAAUUCCUCGGUCAACAUUAGUUUUCCCUCGGUCAAGUGGUGCUAUUGGUCGAUGGAUUUUGAGUUUGGCUUAAUCAAUUAUGCUUUUGGCUUGGCUAUGUUGCAUGGGAGAUCUAUCUUGGUUAGGUGCAUUUGUUGGUGACUUUAAUAGGAGGGAAUGAAGGAUUUGAAUUAGGGGAGUGUGGUUAUUGCUGAAGGGGUUGUUGUUGGUGGGGAAGGUUGUGAUAUGAAAUAUAGACUUGGGGCCUAGAGACAAGUUAGGUAGACACUUCAAAUUUGGUUCAUUGUUCAUACACUACUUAGCUAAGUUGUACAUAUCCAGUUUUUUUAUGAUUAUUAAUUUUAGCGGUUGAUUAAUUUUUUAAAUUCAACUGGUAUAUUUAGUUGAAUACGAGCUUUCUAUCUUCAAAUUUCAAUAAUUAUUUUUGUGAUAUUUAUAUUUCUU